GACGAACGCUGGCGGCGUGCUUAACACAUGCAAGUCGAACGGAAAGGCCCUGCUUUUGUGGGGUGCUCGAGUGGCGAACGGGUGAGUAACACGUGAGUAACCUGCCCUUGACUUUGGGAUAACUUCAGGAAACUGGGGCUAAUACCGGAUAGGAGCUCCUGCUGCAUGGUGGGGGCUGGAAAGUUUCGGCGGUUGGGGAUGGACUCGCGGCUUAUCAGCUUGUUGGUGGGGUAGUGGCUUACCAAGGCUUUGACGGGUAGCCGGCCUGAGAGGGUGACCGGCCACAUUGGGACUGAGAUACGGCCCAGACUCCUACGGGAGGCAGCAGUGGGGAAUAUUGCACAAUGGGCGGAAGCCUGAUGCAGCAACGCCGCGUGCGGGAUGACGGCCUUCGGGUUGUAAACCGCUUUCGCCUGCGACGAAGCGUGAGUGACGGUAAUGGGUAAAGAAGCACCGGCUAACUACGUG
rnacentral:rRNA from 1 species